CCCGCAUGAUGAUAUCAUGGCAAGUUUGAUGACGCAGUCAAACCAAGCGAUUUGUGGUUUCUAGCCUGCUGAUAGAUGGGUAGUCUUGGUGUUGUGAUGGAGUUUUAUCACACUGCUGUAAGGCCCCAACCACAGUUAACCUGUCAACUUCCACAUCUGCCCUCCCAAGAGUAAUGGGACAGGGCAGGUAGGAGAUGUCAAACAAUGUGUGGAUGUUUAUUUGGUCUUUGUGUGUCUUGUGUGAAUGUAUACGUAUCAGCAGGCAUUAGACCAUACUCUAAAUUAGGUUUGAAAUAUGAAUUACAGUCUUUGGUAAACUGAGGGCA